rnacentral:rRNA from 1 species
GCGUGUGUGAAGAAGGCCUGCGGGUUGUAAAGCACUUUCGGUAGGAAAGAAAAGACCGACGCUAAUACCGGCGGUUCUUGACGUUACCUACAGAAGAAGCACCGGCUAAUUCCGUGCCAGCAGCCGCGGUAAUACGGAAGGUGCAAGCGUUAAUCGGAAUUACUGGGCGUAAAGCGCGCGUAGGCGGUCCGGUAAGUCGGGUGUGAAAGCCCUGGGCUCAACCUGGGAAUUGCAUUCGAUACUGUCGGGCUAGAGUGUGGUAGAGGGGGGUGGAAUUCCAGGUGUAGCGGUGAAAUGCGU